GUGUAAAUGGAUGGCUUAGAGAUAAAAUGGCAGCGAAUUUCCAAGAGGGCAAGAAACCAGUAAUCCUAAAGACCUAUCAAAGUAGAGGGAUCUCAGAAACUUACCGAACCUUUUCUUACGUUCCUCUGAAAAAAAAAUAGCAAAGUCCAAUGUCAAUUUCACAGGAUGGAAACAUGAAAACAACUUCAAAUUUCUUAAAAUUCAGUGUCUAAAAUUAUCACUUUGAAGGUGUAACUGACCUCACUCUCAGAAACACACUCACAGACACACACACAGAAAGAGACAUACACAGUGGCACAGGUAAACAGCAGAAUACAUCACAGGAACUUACCUUUGUCCUGUUCAGUCUCCGCUAAAAAUAAAGAAAGAAAGGAACAAUUUAUUGCAAAGGAAGGUACAAUGCAAGGAUGUGAGGAGCACGGACAUUUGAAACCCUUUUAUAGUAUACUCUGUGAUGCAAAUUGACCCAUAUUUGUGAGAAUCAGAACCUCAAGUUUUCAAAGGACAUCUCACCCAUCAGAGACAUAUAGUUGUUUACCAUCCCUCCAUUCCUUGGUGCAAAAGGAAUUAAGAUAGGAAAGGAAACCAUGAGAGGAGGAACGAUAGGACUUCCUCUACAAUUAGCAAUAUCAAUCCGUCCUCUUCUGUCAGACUGACACAUUUUUCAGAACACGAUGCAGACAUGCACAACUACUUGAGACAGGGACUCCAAAAGUGAUGAGGAAGGAGACAGCAAAGGGACCCAUCUGUCCCAAUCUCUAUCUGGACCAGUAGUCAUAUGACACGUGCUGUGUACAUUGAAGAGAUAAAUUUCCAAAUUCCAUUGCAAAGAAAACAAGAGUAUAACUGGAAAACGUCAUUGG
rnacentral:lncRNA from 1 species